rnacentral:rRNA from 1 species
GGGUCAGUAGGUUGGUCGUGCUAUUGGUACGUACUGGUCUCACUGAUUCCUCCUUCCUGAAGAACCGUAAUGCCAUUAAUUUGGUGUUGCGGGGAAACAGGACUGUUACUUUGAAAAAAUUAGAGUGUUUAAAGCAAGCUAACGCUUGAAUACAUUAGCAUGGAAUAAUGAAAUAGGACGAUCGAUCCUAUUUUGUUGGUUCCUAGGAUUGACGUA